rnacentral:rRNA from 1 species
AGUCUGAUGUGAAAUCCCCCGGCUCAACCUGGGAACUGCAUUCGAAACUGGCGGGCUUGAGUCUUGAAGAGGGGGGUGGAAUUCCACGUGUAGCGGUGAAAUGCGUAGAGAUGUGGAGGAACACCGGUGGCGAAGGCGGCCCCCUGGACUGUGACUGACGCUCAGGAGCGAAAGCGUGGGGAGCAAACAGGAUUAGAUACCCUGGUAGUCCACGCCGUAAACGAUGACUGCUUGGAGGUUGUGCCCUUGAGGCCCGUCUUCCUGAGCUUACGCGUUUAGUCAAUCGCCUGGGGAAUACCGGCCCCAGGAUUGAACUCCAAUGAAUUGGCCGGGGGCCCCCCCAGCCGUGGAACCUGGGGGUUAAUUCCAUGCCACCCCAAAA